AUGAGCACUGAGGAAUACAGAGCAAAGAGAAAACUGGGGCUGUGGUUCUUUACUCCAGCCCAAGUAAAGAACUGGUGUACAAAUAUCACAGAGUGGGAAAAGAAUGAGUGCUGCCUGUUUAAUUCACAAGGUGAGUACUGGUUUUGCUACAACAGUUUUGUGUGUGCUACACGAAGUACCAUGUGUAAAUGGCACUGAAUGCAUGCAUUUGAAAAUUAUCAGUAAC
rnacentral:lncRNA from 13 species